ensembl:lncRNA
GUAUCUGCAGAAUUAAUUACAAGUCUCACCUGACAAGCUUUUGCAGUUUUGCAGUGUCAUUCUUGACAGAAAAACAUACUUGUCACAUUCUUUUUAUUUCCAGAAAAACAUCUUUCAGAUGUAUGAGAAAUUGAUUGGAGCCUGUCUGGAAAACGGCAGCCACUGGACCUUGUUUGUAAGUUGCACAGAUUUUGCACUCUCUCUAGUGCAUGAUACUUUUCAGUGUCCCUCAUUAGGAAUUCUCAAGGCCCAAGCCUACCAUAUCCAUCUUUUUACAAAACAGUUUUGUGACAUACCCAAGAGGACCAUAGUCUAUAUGAAUUCAUUUGGCGAGUCGGAGGUCAGAAAAAGUGCGGUGUUGAAAAACUGGAGCUCAUUUGCUUCAGCAAGAGGCUGCGCUGGAGAGUGGACCUUGUCACAUGUGAGCCACCCACAUCAACAGGAUGGGAACUCAUGUGGAGUGCAUGUCAUAAUGAUCGAACUAGGAAGUGCAGUCAGUGCUGGUGUGUGAUUGCAGCCAAAGACCGGGUGCAGUGCCAGAAAUGUGGUGCAUACAAGCACAUGCGUUGUUCAAAGUCUGUUUGUGGCAUCUGUAUCUUCUGUGAGAGGCCGUAAAGCCAAACUGCCCGCAAUGAUUCUUGACAGGCCUAAGAAGGCCAAAACUAAAGUAACAGUGUUUAGUGUUCUGAGUGAAGAGGAGGCUGGGGAGCUAGCCCUCGGGUUUGCCGGAAGAUUGGCCUGCGAUGUCACAACAGACAUGGUCUGUAAAGGCAUCGACCAUUCAAGUGCUGAUAUGACAAAACAGACUCUUCUCAAAAUCCAACACAAUCUUAAACAUGAGCUGACUGAUUCCUCAACCUUCAGUUUGCUGACACACACCUUUGGCCCCGCUGCACUGGAUUCUGUCAUUUCAUUCCUGUGUGAAAAACUUGAUCUUGUUUCUUAAAUAAUGAAACCUUUUGUGACUUUUGUUUGUUCUGUAAAUCAGAAUCUUGAAAAUUGUUCAUUGUUGUUCUAAGUUUGUGUUAACUAUUUGGCAAAAAUGAUUGGUUCCUAAUCCAAACAGCAUAAUGACUGUUCUAACACAUAUCUUAAAAAUGCUACAAAGAAAGAAAAUUAUCACAUAUGUUUCAAUAUGAAUGUAAUUGUGUCACACUCGGUUUGUAGUAGCUUUCCUGUUUUAUUUUGAGUUUUGGUAUGUUUACACUGUUAUUUUUAUUUCCCGUGUGUUCGUCUUCCCUUAUUAGUUUUACUGUAUUUAAUUAGUCUGAUUUAAUAACUUAUAAUUAUUUACUUUCCAGUGUGUGUAUAUGCUCCUCGUUUGGAUUAUUGUUUGUUUGAGUUCUGCCUGUCUUUUCUAUUAAAGAUUUGGACUUUUGGACUAUUAGUGGACCUCGUAGGUUUUUAUUCUGUUCAAUUGGUAAUUGACUGGGUUUAAUUUAGUGGCCUGGAAAACAGGCCGGAGGGGUCUGGUCAUUUUAACCCCCUAAG